CCUCCUUUCUUGGCAUGUACGCAGUCGUUCAGUACUCGUGUGUGUAUGUACGGAGGAAGAAAAAUGCCCAGUGCUAUGUCUUCGGUACCAGUGCGUUGCCUGUCGUCUGGUCCUAUCCUCAAACACUGGCACAGCU